UACGGAGGAUGCGAGCGUUAUCCGGAUUUAUUGGGUUUAAAGGGUGCGUAGGCAGACGCUUAAGUCAGCGGUAAAAUUGCGGGGCUCAACCUCGUCGAGCCGUUGAAACUGGGUGUCUUGAGUGGGCGAGAAGUACGCGGAAUGCGUGGUGUAGCGGUGAAAUGCAUAGAUAUCACGCAGAACUCCGAUUGCGAAGGCAGCGUACCGGCGCCCAACUGACGCUGAAGCACGAAGGCGUGGGUAUCGAACAGG
rnacentral:rRNA from 1 species